CGUGGCCCCCCACCUGCGCGGUUGCCCGGGAGACCGGGCUGUUUACCAGCGGGGCCGAGCCAGGCGGCCGCAGCUGAUGGAGCGGAGCGGCGAGGGGUCUUAGGAAGCAAUGGCCACGGAAGCCCCUGUGAACAUAGCUCACCCUGAACACAGCUCUGUAGUCAGCACAGCGGCCGACAGCUUCGCUUGGCAGCCACACACACUGAACAUGCACCUCAUAAGGCCCAAGUCCGCCAAGGGUCGCAUGCGGCCGAGUCUGCACAAACCCCGGGACCCAGGGAUGUACUCACAUGACACACAUUCUUCUCUGCCUCCAGCCAUUCCUUGCAAGUCCCCAAGCAGCCAGAAACCAGGAAGCUGUGCACCCAGAUCUCCCAAUCAGGGAGUUCCCGAUGGGGUCCCUGAGCUGCUGCAGCAGGUGCCCACUGGGGCUUCCUCUUCCCUCAAUAAAUAUCCAGUUCUUCCUUCCAUCAACAGGAAGACCCUGCAGGAGGGGGCGGUGGAAACAGUAGCUCAAAAGGCCUGCUCACUGCACCUGAGCAGCACGCAGGGUCUUUACCAAGAGGAGACAUGCUCCAUGAAGACAAGCAAAGAAGAUUCCAGAGCUCAAGCCUGUUCCCCAGAGAGAAAAUUCAUCCGAAACAAGAGACAGACCUCCCCCAGGGCUGGAGCUCUGGAGGAACCAUCAGAUCAAGAGCCAAGGCUGCUGCUUGCUGUCAGGUCACCGUCAGGCCGAAGGUUUGUACGCCACUUCCGACCAACUGAUGACCUGCAAACCGUUGUUGCCGUAGCUGAGCACAAGAACAAGGCCAGCUACGAGCACUGCAGCAUCGAAACAAUGGAGGUGCCCCGGAGAUGCCUCUCUGAUCUCACCAAAUCUCUGCAAGAGUGCGGAAUCCCCCACAAGUCGGUGCUGGGCAUCUCACAGGGAGGUGGGGCAGGGGGGCCCUGAGUCCACAGCCACCCAGCUGGGGUCCUGGGUCUCUGAGCAAGAAGUGUGCUUGGGUGCCAUGGCGUCCUGGGCAGCGUGGUGCCAAGUGCCAUGGCACCGUGGUGCCUCUGGGACUGGGACUCCUGUCUUCACAGCAUCACCUUUGAAGCAGGGAUAUUUGUACACCCACCAAGCACAUCAAGAAGAUUCUCUUCCAGUUGCUAAAUUCUCUCCGUCCCUGGAGUGAACUGGCGAGUUCCUGAGGCUGUUCCUCAAACGGCUGUGACCAGGCCUCCCUUUUUCUAGAGUUUCAGGCCCUGUCCAGAGCACCUGCUUGCCUUUACAAUGAACUCAUUCUCUUGAAGCCAGUGGUUUGCCUCUCUGCAUUCGAUGCAGGAUUAAACACUUCCUAGAGGGGAUUCUAGCCUGGUAAAUAACUAGGGUUCAGGAAAUGUCAGCUGGCAUUUGUAAGUCUCGCAAGCAUCCUUAAGAAACAGGUGGUUGGCCCUAUCUUGGAAGCAGCCCCUCUGCUGGGCCUGGGUGACUAGAGUUCCUUGGGGAUGACUGUUGUUUUGCGUGAGGGGGUCUCAGGGGAAAGAGCAGGUAUUUUGCUAAUACAAACCCCUAAUACCUCAACAUUUCUAAAAUCACUGGGAACUGGAAAGUAAAUUGCUUCCACAGCCGUAGAUUAGUCACGCAGCUUCUUUUAAGUAGAGAAUAACUAGGUUUACAACUUCUGGUAGCUAUUCUCUGUGCGUACAAUUCUUCCCAAACUGAGAAAAGCCAUUGUAACCUGAUUUCCGUUGCUUUUGUCAGUCAUGGCAUGUUUUGUUCUUAAAUCAUACAAACCUAUAGGCCUGUGCAAGUUGGCGCUGAGGACCUCGGGCUUACCUGGGUGUGGGUGCAUUGUUUUAUCCCCCAGUUUCCAUGUCCUACCUACUACACACAUGGAGGCCCUCUUAGAGUGCCCAGUGGCUCUUAGACUUAGAAGUCCCCAGAGGAGAAGGGCCCCUCGGUUUGAUGUCACUUACUCGCUGUGCCAUGUGGUCCUGUUGAUUGGUAGGAAGUGCGGCUGACUGCCUGAGCCUGCAGCUGAGUUGAAAACCACAGUCGUCUUUUUCCAACCCUGAAGAGGUGACAUGGAUAAUUUGCCAAAGUUUUCUUGUAUUCUGAGUUCAGCCAGACUCCCACGUCUCAUCUGGACCUUCUUUAUGGCCAAAUCACCAUUGAAAGUAGGGAAUCUUAUCCCCCCAGGGCUUGGCCAUUGUGAAGCCUUGGGUGCUGAUAAUACACUCCCACCUCCUAGGUUCACAGAGAAGGCAGGAGUUGGGGAAGCAUAUCAGUGCUGCAACCUCAGCAACAAGCACAUCGUGGGAGUAGAUAAGGAAUGUGGCUGGAAAAGUAACUCCCGUAAAUUGAUACUAGCCAUGGAGAUUAACACCAACAUUGUUUCCUCUGAAGAAGGAUUGCUUUGUCCUAACUGCAUCCCACACCACACAGAUCACUCAAGAUAGGUUAUUUCUGAAUGUUUAGCAAAAUUUCUCAAUAACCUCUUGUUUGGUCAACAGCUCCUUUGACUGCAAAGGUCAUCUGGGGCUUGCGGUGCCCUGUGCAGCACACACGACUGGCCACAGCUCCCAGUUACCGACCCUGGCAGAAGAGGCUGGUGGCUUGAGUCUGGUACUCAGUACAGAUUCACCUCCCACCUAAAACUGUGCCUCUGAUCUGGAAGGCUGGGGGAAGAGCCUCCCACAAAAUUACACCUACUCUGUGAUGAUGAUACUAACAAUAAAAACUGAUUUGUGUGAAAUCGACUCAGUGGAGAAGUACACCUGUAUUUAGCCCAAGACUUUGCUCCCACACUCUAGUGGACAGAGGAGUUCAUCCACCUGAUCUCGACAUUUAUUGAACAGCCACCAGCUACUGGGGAUAUGAAGAUGUAUUCACUGCCCUCCAGGGAGCUCCCCAUCCAGUGGGAGAGGCAGAUGGGGACACUGAAAGCUACCACACCCGGAGAUUAGCACAAGUGUCUGAACAGUGCCUGGUGCAUGGGAGGUGCUCAGGAAGUCUAUGAGGAAUGAAUGAAGACAUUAAAAGAUACCAUGGAAUCACAGACUGACAAUGGGGGGAGCUUCUAGAAAGUGAUGCGGGAGCUGAAUCUCAGAGGGCCGGGUAGGAGAAAACCAGCCGAGGGAAGAGAGAUGUCCUGGAACCAGCGCACAGCUUUUACAAGGCUGCCAGGCCUUCCCACACUGCCCGUGACUCAGUCAUCUGGGCGCUCUGGGUGCCUAGCCAUGGGCCCCGAGCAUGGUAGGUGCCAGUCUCCCCAAUAUGAAAUGGUUAAAGAUCCUGCCUUCGAAACAAAACAAAACAGCUACUCAGCAUCAAAGGCAUAAAAUGAACAGAGGGCAUUUGGGUCACCCACCCCCUUCACAGUGCGAUGUCUCACACUGAUGCCAUCCCCAAUGAGCUUGGCAUGGUUUUCAAAGUCCCCGCAGUGCUCUGGGUAGAGCUGGCAAAUAUGGAUUAAUUCAGUCCAUCUGCUUUGGUCUUUAUCCACCUAUUUCAGAGCACGUCCCUCAUAACCUUAAUCAAGAUAAUACGUUCUUAGCAGCAAGGGACUGUGAAGACAGGUAGGUUCCUGUUCUCUAAAUAUUUUACAUUUUUUGCAAGAACAGAAGCCCUGUCUAC